UACGUAGGGUGCGAGCGUUAAUCGGAAUUACUGGGCGUAAAGCGUGCGCAGGCGGUAAUGCAAGACAGAUGUGAAAUCCCCGGGCUAACCUGGGAACUGCAUUUGUGACUGCAUUGCUGGAGUGCGGCAGAGGGGGAUGGAAUUCCGCGUGUAGCAGUGAAAUGCGUAGAUAUGCGGAGGAACACCGAUGGCGAAGGCAAUCCCCUGGGCCUGCACUGACGCUCAUGCACGAAAGCGUGGGGAGCAAACAGG
rnacentral:rRNA from 1 species